rnacentral:rRNA from 1 species
UGGCGGCGUGCUUAACACAUGCAAGUCGAACGCUGAAACCAGAGCUUGCUUUGGUGGAUGAGUGGCGAACGGGUGAGUAACACGUGGGUGAUCUGCCCUACACUUUGGGAUAAGCCUGGGAAACUGGGUCUAAUACCGAAUAUUCACACCACCGUAGGGGUGGUGUGGAAAGCUUUGUGCGGUGUGGGAUGAGCCUGCGGCCUAUCAGCUUGUUGGUGGGGUAAUGGCCUACCAAGGCGUCGACGGGUAGCCGGCCUGAGAGGGUGUACGGCCACAUUGGGACUGAGACACGGCCCAGACUCCUACGGGAGGCAGCAGUGGGGAAUAUUGCACAAUGGGCGCAAGCCUGAUGCAGCGACGCCGCGUGGGGGAUGACGGCCUUCGGGUUGUAAACUCCUUUCGCUAGGGACGAAGCCUUAUGGUGACGGUACCUGGAGAAGAAGCACCGGCUAACUACGUGCCAGCAGCCGCGGUAAUACGUAGGGUGCGAGCGUUGUCCGGAAUUACUGGGCGUAAAGAGCUCGUAGGUGGUUUGUCGCGUCGUCUGUGAAAUCCCGGGGCUUAACUUCGGGCGUGCAGGCGAUACGGGCAUAACUUGAGUGCUGUAGGGGAGACUGGAAUUCCUGGUGUAGCGGUGAAAUGCGCAGAUAUCAGGAGGAACACCAAUGGCGAAGGCAGGUCUCUGGGCAGUAACUGACGCUGAGGAGCGAAAGCAUGGGUAGCGAACAGGAUUAGAUACCCUGGUAGUCCAUGCCGUAAACGGUGGGCGCUAGGUGUAGGGGUCUUCCACGACUUCUGUGCCGCAGCUAACGCAUUAAGCGCCCCGCCUGGGGAGUACGGCCGCAAGGCUAAAACUCAAAGGAAUUGACGGGGGCCCGCACAAGCGGCGGAGCAUGUGGAUUAAUUCGAUGCAACGCGAAGAACCUUACCUGGGCUUGACAUGGACCGGAUCGGCG